rnacentral:rRNA from 1 species
CCUACGGGUGGCAGCAGUGAGGAAUAUUGGUCAAUGGCCGGAAGGCUGAACCAGCCAAGCCGCGUGAAGGACGAAGGUGCCAAGCAUUGUAAACUUCUUUUGUCAAGGGACAAAAUCAGGCUCGAGAGCCUGACCGAGGGUACUUGAAGAAAAAGCAUCGGCUAACUCCGUGCCAGCAGCCGCGGUAAUACGGAGGAUGCGAGCGUUAUCCGGAUUUAUUGGGUGUAAAGGGUGCGUAGACGGAGAAGCAAGUUAGUUGUGAAAUCCCUCGGCUUAACUGAGGAACUGCAACUAAAACUACUUCCCUUGAGUACUGGAGAGGAAAGUGGAAUUCCUAGUGUAGCGGUGAAAUGCGUAGAUAUUAGGAGGAACACCAGUGGCGAAGGCGACUUUCUGGACAGUAACUGACGUUGAGGCACGAAAGUGUGGGGAGCAAACAGGAUUAGAUACCCCGGUAGUC